CAUAUUUCAACCUCAGAAACCACAACCAUCUCACAGUGGCUUACAAGUAAUGUACUUUUCAGAUGAGUAGUAAUUAGCGUGAGAUUGAGAUUAGAAAACACAAUGGAUUUUUGGGUGCAGAUCUUCAGUUUUAUGCUACUCAGUGUCACAGUGACCUGGGGAGAAAUUGUGCUUACCCAGUCUCCAGCAUCCAAGGCUGCAUCUCAUGGGGAGACGGUUACCAUCAGCUGUAGUGCCAGCUCAAGUGUAAGCACCAGCUAUUUGCACUGGUACCAACAGAAGCCUGGAGAUUCCCCUAAACUCCUGAUUUACAGAACAUCCAACCUGGCUUCCGGAGUGCCAAACCGCUUCAGUGGCAGUGGGUCUGGGACUUCCUAUUAUCUGGCAAUCAGCAGUGUACAGGCUGAAGAUGCUGCCACUUACUUCUGUCAACAGUCGGAUACUUACCCAUGCCCACAGUGCUAUAGACUGGAACAAAAACCCUUAACCUGCAUAGAGUCCAGCUACUUCCUCCUAAAGAAUAAAGAAGGCUAAAGUUUUUAAUGAUAU